rnacentral:rRNA from 1 species
AUUGAACGCUGGCGGCAGGCCUAACACAUGCAAGUCGAGCGGAUGACGGGAGCUUGCUCCUUGAUUCAGCGGCGGACGGGUGAGUAAUGCCUAGGAAUCUGCCUGGUAGUGGGGGACAACGUUUCGAAAGGAACGCUAAUACCGCAUACGUCCUACGGGAGAAAGCAGGGGACCUUCGGGCCUUGCGCUAUCAGAUGAGCCUAGGUCGGAUUAGCUUGUUGGUGAGGUAAUGGCUCACCAAGGCGACGAUCCGUAACUGGUCCGAGAGGAUGAUCAGUCACACUGGAACUGGGACCCGGUCCAGACUCCUACGGGAGGCAGCAGUGGGGAAUAUUGGACAAUGGGCGAAAGCCUGAUCCAGCCAUGCCGCGUGUGUGAAGAAGGUCUUCGGAUUGUAAAGCACUUUAAGUUGGGAGGAAGGGUUGUAGAUUAAUACUCUGCAAUUUUGACGUUACCGACAGAAUAAGCACCGGCUAACUCUGUGCCAGCCGCCGCGGUAAGAC